UACAUAUACCAAGUGUGACCAUAAGAAGUUAGUGGAUUAGUUAGAACCUAACCAAAUGGCAUAGUGGUAAAUCUCACUUAGUUGGAGGGCAAUUGAGACAAUUAACAUUAUGCAUGAGCCAUAAAGACUUGUUUGGAAUGAAGGAAUAUGUGUCCUUAUUGUAGAAUCAUUUCUUUUGGAUAAUAAAGAGAUUAGAGCCAAGAAGAAAAGAAGAACUCAUAACUCAAGUCCCAUUUUCGUAUUCCAUGGACAGCCUUCACUAAAAGUGCCAUAACUCUCUGCUCACAACUCCGAUUCAGAAAAACGAGUUUGAAGUUGGAAGCUCCAUGCUGUAUGUGUGUCUAAGUGUGAUUACGGGUUUGAUGAGGAUGGAGUGGAACUUUGACUAUGGUGGGAGUUCAAUGGCAGCAAAGAGCAUGAUCUUAACCUCCAUUAAAUCCAAGGUGCAGUUUAGUAGUGUUUGGUCAGUAGCAGGUUUGGACUGAAGACUUGGAAGUGGUGAUGGCUCAGAGACCUCGUCAGAUCUCAUUUUUCGCUGUGCAAGAUCCAUUGAAGACA